UCUAUAUGUUUUCACUCCUAUAAUUUUAGGUUUUUCUUUCCCAUUUGAUAAUAGUCUAUCCUUAUUGUUUGUUUCAUCUCCUCCUCCUCAUUAUCUUAACCACUUCUUAUCAAGGCCUCCUUCUAGACAGGGUUUUAGGCCCUAUCAGUGUGGCUUGUACUAGACCUACAACGACCUACAAGUUUUACAGAUAGGAAACUGAAGCUAAGGUAGAGGGUUAGGCCAGAUAAUGGCUCGCAAAGAUGUCCACACUAAUCUCCAGAACCUGGAAAUAUGUUUUACCUUAUAUGGCCAAAGGGACUUUGCAGCCAGAAAUUUGACAAAGAGGAAAGUCACCGGCUUCAGAGUCAAAGAAGAGACUACAAGGAAAAAAUGCAGGCGAUCCCAGGAGCUGGGAAAGAGAAGGAAACAGAGUCUUCUCUAGAGCUUCCAGUAUGAACACAGCCUUGUCAACAAUUUAAUUUUAGCCUGGGUCUCGCCAGAGACCAGAGCUGCAAGCCUUCAUCUUUUGUCUUAAAUAUCUCGCACGGUGUAUACUUCUUGAGAGAAUCCAGUUUAUAAAUGAUAGUAGAAAAAUACACAUAGUUGACGUGACCCUGCUGUAGUACUCCAUCAACAAUGAGUUUGAAAAGCAAGAGAUGAAAAUUGAAAAACGCAAGACAAAGAUUUGUAAAUAUUGACGAAACAAAGGACACUUUAGGAAGGAUUCCAAGAACUCCCUGUACUUUCAAUACCUUCACUUUGGAGUUACCUUCAAAGAGGCUAAGAUUGUAGCUGAAAACGGUCCAGCUUCUCCCACACCUUGAGAGACUGCGUUGCUGUAAGGUAACCUUCAGGACGGAAAACAGCAGCGGGGGUGUGGGAUGGGGAAAGUGGUUGGAUGGCUGAAAGUAUUGUAACACAGUACUGAACUUCUUGUUUUGCACAAAUGUUUAUGGAAUAAAGUGUCUUCUUUUCCACCGUGAGAAUUUCUGAAUAUUAUGUCUGAAGGCUGAAUAAGUAAAGGAUUAACAAAUAGGUAAACAUCAAACAGGUUGCUAAAUACUGUCAGAGAACACUAAAGGUAAUCACAAAUUACCUUUUCAUUGAAGAGUACUUUUAAAACGGUAUAUGUUCUCUGAACAUCCGUGAUUAUUCAAAGAAGGCCAGUUCUGAAUUUGGGGGGAGUGGCCUAUUGACUCCUCAAGGUUGAAUUUUUGUGGAAUUAUUCCAUGAUCACUUUUGGUGGGUGCCAUCUUCCUCAGCCCUGACCACGAGAACGAAGGUGCUUUCCUUCAGAUACAGGGCAUCCUCCUAACAAAAAUACCAAAACCAACCAACCAACCAACAAAAAGAGCUAUUCUCCCAUCAACAGAAAGCUAAAAAAUAGGAAAGUAUUAAAAAAAAAAAAAAAAA